UACGUAGGUGACCAGCGUUGUCCGGAUUUACUGGGCGUAAAGAGCGCGCAGGCGGUCGUUCAAGUCGAGUGUGAAAGCCCCCGGCUCAACUGGGGAGGGUCAUUCGAUACUGAUCGACUCGAAGGCAGGAGAGGGAAGCGGAAUUCCCGGUGUAGUGGUGAAAUGCGUAGAUAUCGGGAGGAACACCAGUGGCGAAGGCGGGUCUCUGGGCAGUAACUGACGCUGAGGAGCGAAAGCGUGGGGAGCGAACAGG
rnacentral:rRNA from 1 species